ACUUUGUAUACACUUGUUUGAAUUACACGUGACCUUUUGUGUAUAUAUAAGCAUUCUAUGUAAUAGCAUUUUCUCAUCCAUCUUGACGGAAGCGACACUGCUGUGAAGUGAUAUAUACCAGAUUUCUUAAAAUGGUGGUAUUUAUUUGGCUAGCCAUAUUCCUUUCUUUCCUGUCACUUUCAAAUGCAUGGGGUUCGCAAAAUUGCUGGGCCGGCCUUCAAAAACAAGAAUGCUUGUAUGGUGACGCAGACUUAAAAGGGCGAGAGGGACUAAUGAUAAGUUACUUUCUAAGCAUUCCAUUUUCUCGGAUUUGCUGUGAAGCCCUUAGUUGUACCCUAGAGACAGGGAGGUGUGAGUUCCAAUAUGCCGGAUGCCAUGAUAAUAGCACAGCUAGUAUCCAGACUCGUCCAAGACUUUGGGAACUCCAAAACAUACCUAUAAUGAUGCGGUGUACCGAUGUGCAAGGGAAAGGUGCAUUUUAUGUGUAUUGGGCUCGGAUUGUGCAGGAAGAAACCCUUUUGUAAUUAAGAAACACCAUUAAAAGUCGUUUUGUUUUCAGACAAAAUGUUAUGAAGUUAACACUAAAAUGCAUUUAAGAUGAAUGUGAUAAUAGAUGAAACGUAUGAAUAUUCAUUAACUAAAACAAACACUAACCUUAUAUCACAUUUCACGUUUGCGUAAUGACCACUCUUUUCGUUUUAGAUAUGUUUACAAUCGAAUAUUUAUUAAUAAAGAUCAUACCGACUUUAUAACAAUUUUAAUUUGAUCGUGUCGGACGACCUCCGAGGUGUUAUAUCUUCUUUACAUUUUUAUAAGAUCAACCAGCUGAGUAAAACAAUCCUUACGCCGUUUUUCUUAAUAUAUAUGUAUGAAACGAGUUAGUUACAAUGAUAUAACACUGGCUGGACAACUUCGUGAGAUAGUAAUGUCAAGGCCGUCGGGGCGGGAUGGUGUUAUGUUUUGAAAAAAAAUAUCCAGAAAUGUCGCCCAGCCAAUGUUAUCUCGCGUAACGAACGAGUUUUUUUUAUAUAAUAACUGUUUUAUCGUAAUUUCAUAAUUUUUAGCAGAAAACAGCAAUAAAUACUAUGUUCAGUGA